UCUUUUUUUUUUUUUUUUUUUGCAGGGGACCCUAGAAUAGUUUUUCUCCUGCCAUUUCUAUGAAUGUCUGAACGUGCAAAUAUGUCAAUGACUAGGGAAAAUAUAGUGACGCACUGGUCAUUCUACAACUUUAAGUCUACACAGGUUCCUUCAUCAAAACAGGGCAUUAAAAACAACUAAGCUAUAGAGCCAGAUCACUGGAGGUACUGUAGUUUAUAACCUGCUUAUAAACCCCAGUUCUUAAGUCCCUCAAUGCCUAGCAUGCUACCUACCAAUACGCAUACAAAUAAAUCAGACGAUCUUGUGCCCCCCAGCCCAAUGUUUACCAAGACUUCAAAAUGUUCUGGUGAGAUCACCUCCCUGCUAUGUGAUGCAAACAUCAGAGUAUAAAUCUUUUCAGAAAACUUUUUAACAACUGUUGGAAAUUUUAAAGAUAAAAGCAAUACAGGUCAAGCAGACCCCUGAAGAACCUCUGGAGCACCACAUGGUGCUGGCACCAGCUCUGCCCCCGACUCCCUUCAUCAACUCAGGCACCUCCCUUCACCUCUGUAAAGCUAGGUGGCUUGAACUCCAUAAUCUCUGACGACACCAUCUGCCGAAUCCACGGCAAGGACACACAGAACCAGAGAGGCUACUUCAUUAAGCUGCAGUGUGCAUUUACAUCAAAUCAACCAUUCCAUAGUAACAAGGCAAUAUGAGGCCAUCUUUUUAAAAUUCCAUAGGAGAAUUUAAGUAAAUUGCUAGAUCCUUCCAGUUUUUUCUGUGUGAAUGAUUUAUCCCAGCUUCUAGGAAUAUGUGCAAUAUUAUUCCACAGAGCACAUCUUUCAGAAUCUUGUUUCAGAUUAUUGUUACUUAAAUAGUCCAUUUCUCCUGAACAGCCCUUCAGGUAAGAGACAUUCAAUACUCAUUAGAAUCUCUACUCUCAUGAUGCAUUGUAUGAUCUGAGAACCAACUUACAUGGUACAAGUAUAGACACAUAACAUCAAAGAAGAUACACAAUGGCCAAGAUUCUGGUUUCAUUAGUUACCAGGGAAAUAUAAAUUAAACCACAAUAAGAUUCCAUUACACACCCAGUAAAAUGGCUGAUAAUGCCAAGCACCGAUGAGGAAGUGAAGGAACUGGAACUCUCAUACGUGGUUAGUGGAAAUGAAAAAUGAUGCAGCCACUUUGGAAAAUGGGAUGGCAGCAUUUGAUAAAGUUAAACACACACUUAGCACACAACACGGCAAUUGCACUCUCAGGUAUUUCCCGAAGUCAAAAUAUAAAACGUGUCUACCUACACAAAGACUUGUAGUCAAAUGUUCAUAGAAGCUUUAUCCAUAAUAGCCAAAAACUGGAAAGAACCCAAAUGCCCAUCACUUGGUGAACUGAUAACAAGUAGUACCGCUUAUCUUCAGGGAAUACAUUCCAAGACUCCCAGUGGAUGCCUGAAACCAGACAGUACCAAAUCCUGUAUAUACUGGGUUUUUUUUUUCUAUACACACAUACCUCUGAUAAAGUUUAGUUUAUAGGCCGGGGACGGUGGCUCAAACCUGUAAUCCCAGCACUUUGGAGGCUGAGGCAGGAGAAUUGCUUGAACCCGGGAGACAGAGGUUGCAAUGAGCUGGGAUGAUGCCACUGCACUCCAGCCU
rnacentral:lncRNA from 10 species